rnacentral:ncRNA from 1 species
GAGAAUUGACACGGGAGCUGCUUGGCGAAUGCCUCGCGGCUGAGAUGAGGACUACCUCGACCGAUUGAACGUGAAACCGGAUAAUGCCGGCGCACGGAUGUCGAUUUUUCCCGUGC